GGCCUGUGAUGGCACCAAUAUCUGCUUUCCUGCCCACUCGGAAGGUAAUGUGGCUAUAAAAUUGAUGAGUUAGAUAAAUAGGGUACAAAGGGUGGACUGUGUCUAGCUCUGCAGAGUGCUCUGACUGGUCUCCCAACCCAACCUGGAUAAAUCAUCCUGUCUCCAUUCCACCCACCACCUCGGCCUAGACUGUUCCAUCUGGGCUCCUUCUGACUGACUCCCCAGGAGUUCCCAUUUGCUCUGCCUCUCUGUCUAAUUCGUCACUUUGGCAACCUGAGAGCUCUUCUAUUUCUUUCCAGGUCAAAUAUGUCUCAUUUCACUUUUUUUUUUUUUUUAAUGUGAAACUCUUCUCAGCAAGCCAGCCUCUUGUUCUCAUGGUGAGGCUACAACGUCACACGACCAGCAGGCCAGCAUGCCACAGUCUCACCAGAUGAGGCCAAGAGACCUUGGCCUAGGGCCUGUCAGAUUCCUGUCAGGGUGACCCAGGGCCUCGGCAAUGGUGUGACUGUAUUUUCCUGAUGGACAUGUAAGAGAUCCAGUCACGGAAGGAAGAAAGGACAAGGCAUAGGGAUCCUUGGUUCUACAAAGAGGCGGGCCCAACUCUUGCUGGAUUCCACUGGAAAAAUCAGAACAAUUCCUAUUAUUUUCGGUUCCCAGACCUUGAAUAUGUCAGGCUUCAGGUUCACUUCCUACGUGUCUCUCGUCGCCGGAUCUGCAAGUAAUUUCGGCUGGUAUCAUGACACGGAGGAGAAAAGUGAAUGCCUUUUCUGUCCUGCUGUGUGAAUGGCAGGCUGUGAGGGCCAAAUCCCACCGCCCCCAAGAAAGGCCUUCUCAUUUUCCUCACCUGUUCUUGAGCCUGGAGGGUCGGCUGAGUGAAGCUGAUGCCCGGACCCCAUGAGGAGGUUGGUUAAACAUGACAGAUCUUGAUUAGGGGCAUUAAACGGCCUGUAUUUGCUCGAAAAUGGAUGUCAAGCCUGGGCAGGGUAGAUGCUCCUUUGUUUUAAAAAAUGGAUUUGAGGGGGGUUGGGAGGUGGGUAAAAUGGGUGAAGAGGGUCAAAAGAUACAAACUUCCUGUUAUAAAAUAAAUAAGUCUUGUAGGUGUAACAUACAGCAUGGUGACUAUAGUUAAUAAUACUGUACUUACUGCAUGUUUGAAAAUUGCUAUUUAUGUUUGUAAAUCAUAAAAGUUCUCACAAGAAAAAAAAAGUGUAACCAUGGAUGGUGAUGGAUGUUAACUAGACUUAUUGUGAUGCUCAUUUCACAAUACACAUAAACAUCAAAUCAUUAUAUUGUACACCUGAGACUAAUAUAAUGUUAUCUAGCAAUUAUACCUGCCUCAAUUUAAAAAAGAAAAAAAAAAUUUGGGAUGCCUGGGUGGCUCAGUGGUUGAGCGUCUGCCUUUGGGUCAAGGUGUGAUCCCGGUGUCCUAGG